rnacentral:tRNA from 1 species
GGGCUGAAGCUCAGUGGUAGAGCACCUGCUUUGCAUGCAGAAGAUCCCAGUUCAGUCCAUGGCAGUCUA